UCCUCACAUAGAGAAUCCUCAUUCUCCGGAAUUGGGUUAAUGGUUCUGUGUUCUUCUUGAUAAUUCCUCUCUCAUCAUUGCACCCCUCCCACUAAUUCCUCUCUCCCACGCCUCUCACUCGAUCUCUCAUUACACUCAAGACUCCUCCAUCUUCCAAUACUGUCACUCUCUCUCAUCCCUCACAAACUCCUCCCAUCUGUCCCCCUCUGCAACUCUCCUUCUCCCUCUCGGCAAAACCCACCGUAUCACCUCCAAACACCAUCCAAACUCACCCAAAAAUCAAAGCGGUCAAGGCGGUGGAGAAGUGGGUUAAUGGUUCUGUGUUCUUCUUGAUAAUUCUGUUCUCAACUCCAUUGAUUGUGACACACAACAACAAUUUGCGAUGUGCUCCAAAUAUUUGCAAAUUCAAGAACACUGAAGCAAAUUAUUCUCUCCAUAGUGCUCAAGCCGAUGACAGCCGGCAUGCUAUUGCUAUUUUACAACAAAACAUUAUUUAAACUAUUUUUUUAAAAAAUAAACAAGAUAAUAACGAUGCACUCAUUCAAAGUUCUCUAUCUAGCUAAGAAUGUUGGUAGUGGUGAAGUCCUACUGAAUUGCUGAAAAAAAGGUCCUCUCCAAUUGGUUUGAACCAAACUCCAAUCCAAAAAUAAUAAUAAUAAUAAAAUAACACUAGAACAACCGUUUUGAAUUGGUGCUCUAACGAACGUAUAUAUUGAAGAGCAAUUCACUUCAUCCAUAACCAACAGAGCUAAGGGUACGUUCUUUAAUUAUAACCAUAUUUGAUUUAAGUUUGAAUCUUGGAUCUCAUUUAUGGUAAUUUGGUGGUUGUCUUCAUAUUUGAUUUGAUUUGAUUUAGGGGCUUUUCACAUGUAAUUAGGCCCUUAAUAACAUGGAAAAAUGCUCCGGAUUCAAUAGUUUGUAGAAUCGAUUUACUUUAUAACACUAAAGAAAUUUUACAAAUAAGAAUCAAUUGGAACAUGACAAGUGGAUAGAUGAGGGUGUCGGAAUCGGGAUAUGGGCUAGUGUAGCUUAUAAUUUAGGGUUUAGGACUCGGCCUUUGGACGGAGUCCUAAACUUGUUAUCGCUUAACCCUAGGUCAUAAAAAUUAACCCUAUGUUUUUUUAUAAAAUAAAAUUAAAAAAAAAAUCAACAAUCGUGAGUUUUUUGGUAAACAGUGGGGCAUUUGGUUUGCUUCUAAAUUUGGUGCCAUGCAAGCUUGUACUUUUUAGUCAGUGUGUUGAUUAUUUAUCGUGUUUAUGUUAAAUCUGCAAUAGUUCAGUGUACAUACGUGAUGUAAUCUUGAAAAAGAAUGAAGAAAAUCAGAGAAAUUUAGAGAUGAAAUGCUUGGGCUAAUAGUAGCAGCUCAGCAUCCUUCAUGCAUU